rnacentral:rRNA from 2 species
UGCAGUCGACGACUCUGGUAUUGAUUGGUGCUUGCAUCAUGAUUUACAUUUGAGUGAGUGGCGAACUGGUGAGUAACACGUGGGAAACCUGCCCAGAAGCGGGGGAUAACACCUGGAAACAGAUGCUAAUACCGCAUAACAACUUGGACCGCAUGGUCCGAGUUUGAAAGAUGGCUUCGGCUAUCACUUUUGGAUGGUCCCGCGGCGUAUUAGCUAGAUGGUGGGGUAACGGCUCACCAUGGCAAUGAUACGUAGCCGACCUGAGAGGGUAAUCGGCCACAUUGGGACUGAGACACGGCCCAAACUCCUACGGGAGGCAGCAGUAGGGAAUCUUCCACAAUGGACGAAAGUCUGAUGGAGCAACGCCGCGUGAGUGAAGAAGGGUUUCGGCUCGUAAAACUCUGUUGUUAAAGAAGAACAUAUCUGAGAGUAACUGUUCAGGUAUUGACGGUAUUUAACCAGAAAGCCACGGCUAACUACGUGCCAGCAGCCGCGGUAAUACGUAGGUGGCAAGCGUUGUCCGGAUUUAUUGGGCGUAAAGCGAGCGCAGGCGGUUUUUUAAGUCUGAUGUGAAAGCCUUCGGCUCAACCGAAGAAGUGCAUCGGAAACUGGGAAACUUGAGUGCAGAAGAGGACAGUGGAACUCCAUGUGUAGCGGUGAAAUGCGUAGAUAUAUGGAAGAACACCAGUGGCGAAAGCGGCUGUCUGGUCUGUAACUGACGCUGAGGCUCGAAAGUAUGGGUAGCAACAGGAUUAGAUACCCUGGUAGUCCAUACCGUAACGAUGAUGCUAAGUGUUGGAGGGUUUCCGCCCUCAGUGCUGCAGCUACG